GAAGCCGUAGCUCAGCAGGAUAGAGCGAGCGAUUCCUAAUCGCUAGGUCGGAGGUUCGAAUCCCCCCGGUUUCGCCA
rnacentral:tRNA from 1 species